UGUGGCCUACGGGAGGCAGCAGUGGGGAAUAUUGCACAAUGGGGGAAACCCUGAUGCAGCGACGCCGCGUGAGUGAAGAAGUAUUUCGGUAUGUAAAGCUCUAUCAGCAGGGAAGAAAAUGACGGUACCUGACUAAGAAGCCCCGGCUAACUACGUGCCAGCAGCCGCGGUAAUACGUAGGGGGCAAGCGUUAUCCGGAUUUACUGGGUGUAGAGGGAGCGUAGACGGCAGAGCAAGUCUGAAGUGAAAGGCGGGGGCCCAACCCCCGGACUGCUUUGGAAACUGUGCUGCUGGAGUGCAGGAGG
rnacentral:rRNA from 1 species